rnacentral:lncRNA from 1 species
CUGGUGGCGGAGCCAGAAGCAGACAGACAGCGGGGUUUGCCACGGCCCUGUGGGUCAGAUCUGCUGCUCAUCACAGCUCACAGAGGCUGUGCGACCCAGAUGUCUGCGCCCCGGGACACCCACGAGCCUGCUCCAGUGCCUGCCACUCGGCGCGCCUAGCCUGGCCGCACAGCGAGCUCCCCAGGCGGCCUCCCGACUGAGCUGUGGUAAAAGAGACUGUUGACAACCGAAGCCCAGUGCGGAGGCGCUGCAAGAGCACACUGAACCAACAGUUCUUCCUAGCACCUGCUCCAUGGAUGAGCUGUCACCUGCCAAAUUUUCAGGACAGCUCAGGGCUUAGAAGAGGGCUCAUCUAAAUAAAGGCCGGCUAAAGUGA